rnacentral:lncRNA from 1 species
CGGGAUAUGAAAUUUACUUUACAGUGACUCGUGGGCCCACAAGGAACAAAAGUGCACAAAGGCAGUAAACCUACAAUUUUUGGAGUAGUAAAGCCGACUAUAAUCAUUGACGAUAUCUGCUAUCCACAGGCUACCUCGGGCCUGAAAUGGUUGAAAAUGAGGGUGGUGAGAUUAUAAAAUCCCAGUGAGUAAACAGAUACCAUCUAAACCAUAUAAAGUCGAGUAAAUGGAGACAGAUAAAAUAGUUUAACAUACUGAAAUUCAUCACCUUUCAACUUGUUUCAACCAAAUAAAAUCAAUUUAUAUAAAUCGAGUAAUUAACAAGGCUUAUGAAUUUCUUAAAACUUUAGCUCGUGCCAAAAUCAUUAUCAUACUCAGUCAUCAGGGAUACCUUGGCUGAGGGCUAUCCCAAACUGAGUCCACCAAGGCUAUUAAAAGGUUAUGUACUCAUAAAUCAUGUUUUUAUUUUGAAAAUAUAGCCGUUCCUUGGCGUUGGUUGAGUUGGCCCUCACGUGGUGGUUUGGCGUGAAGUGAACUCUAAAAGCUAUACCUUGGGAGUUACCCUACUUGCCUCUCCAACCGAGGUAAGAAUAUGACCAGGUUUCGUGCCCCUCUAAUAGGCUAGUCCACAGAACCAGCCCACUGCAACAAGCUAAACCCACCAUACAAUAAAAUUUAACAACAUGACAUGGUAAUUUUAUCAUUAUCCAGCCUAUCAAGGCAAACAACAGUUUAUACAUUUUCAACGCAAAUACCAAUUCAGCCAUUCAUGCCAAUAUUGCCAUAAGCCAAUCAAUUAGAACCAUAAAUUCACAAUACAUCAAAUGGUCUCCAAUUACUCUAUUUUCAAAGCCAUCAUUUAAUUUCAAAACAAUUUAUAAAAUCAUUUCAUUUAAACACAUUUUAUUUAUAAAAUAAAAAAAUUAAUCAUUUAAUUCAUUUUCCAUAAAAUUCAUAAAAUCGGAUAAAAACCACUUUAGAUAAUUAAGAUGAUAGUAAGGUUACUCACAGUACUAGGAGUUCGAUAUAUGCCUAUUCCCGGUCUUCGGGCACAAUCUCUUUACCCUUGUUAGAGGGCUCACCACCUAUACAUCAUACGUGACACGAAUUUCAAUAAAUUGUGUCAAUUUAUCAUAAACUAUUUCAGGCUCUAUAAAUCUAUAUGAAUGUACGAAAUGUGAUGCAAAAUGUCCGAAUAGCCGUUUAAAUACGGUAUUCGACCUAAUUCGCACUAUUCUCGAUGUAAUUGGCUAAAACCUCUAAUUUAACUCCAAAUCGAUUUCUUUCACUUCUACACUCCAAUUAUACUUAAAAUACCUCAAUGACUGUGAAUAUGAUUCAAUUUAUCAGUCCGAACUAUAAAUCGCACAUGUCUAUACAUUAGGUAAAAAUUCAGAUUUUCAUGCCAAAAUUUCCCAUUAAAUUUCUAGCCUCACCAAUCAUUAAAUACCACCAAAAUAUCAUGAAAUAUCAUCAAUUUCAGCCUCAAUAUCCUCCCUAGAAAAUUCAGCCUCUUGUGGGUUUGUGAAGAACAAAGUGAUUCCUUGCUAGAUUUUCAUACUUUCCAUUACCAAACAACCAAAAACACUUAAUUAGCUUGAAAUCUAGCAAAAUCAAUGCUCAAAACCUCUCCUCUCAAAUUUGGCCAACAUGGGUUCAUCAUGCAAACUUGAGUUCUAAGCAUGGAAAAUGAAAAAGAAAGCAUGGGUAGUGUAAAUCACAAGAUAAAAUCACAAAAUUUUACCUUUAUUAGCUUAAUCCCUUGAAAUCCCACACUUUUUCUUCAAUUUUCCCACCUAGGGUUUGUGUUCUUUCCUUUCCUCUUCACUUCAU